rnacentral:tRNA from 1 species
CGGGAGCCGGCAAGACGGUCGUCGCCCUGCUUCUUACGCUGGGUUUGCUUGCCGAGCGCGAGCAGGGCGGUACGGUCCCGGUGCUUCUGCC